CACACUUUUCAGUUGUUUGCACACCUACCUCUCUGCUAUGGAAGAAUAAAAACAUAAGAGGAAAUAGCUUUGACUCUACUGCCCUAUCAAGCCAACAGGCAUCUGCCCUCCGGGAAGGCUCCCCAGGCUCCGGGCACAGAAAGGACAUUGUUCUGUUCUUCCUCCUUCCUGCCCUUCCACCUCCUUCCUGGCGCAGAGACCUUUCCAGGGGAAGUGUUUAUGAAAAGCAACGUGAGCUCACAGAGCAAGCCAGAUCCCAGGAGCCCAGAUGGCAGUGCGCAAAUCCACCAGAUCACUCAGAACCAGGAAGCUCUCCCCCACCAGCUCUGCAAGGCGAUGCCAAACGAUCUUACUCUCUUAGGCUCUUGAGGUUGAAGGGAACCCUCGUGGCGGUGAAGUCCAACCAAAUGGAGACGGGUAGGAGGGGCAACCAUCUGGCUCUACAU